AUCCCACCACCAUGAAUACGCAUGGUCCCGCCGCCACAGCCACUUUGCGCCAUCGCCGGAGCCCGGCAGCUCCAUCGCGGCCAACCGCCAUCUUCUCCCUCCUCUCCCUUUUCUUUCUAUCACUUUCUCUCUUCUCACCCAACGCACACACCCAGAUCCGCACUAAAAUUUCUGAAUCACAGAAUAGAUGGCUGAUCCGGCGCUGCCCAACGCCACGGCGGUCCGCAGUGGCCGCCAACAGCAGAGAAAGAGACAGAGAGUGAGAUCGAGGGGGAGAGCAGAGAGAGAGGUUGAGAGAGGAAGAUCGAGAGGGAGCCUACCUGAGGCAGGGGUGGCGGUGUGACGGAGACAGCGACGGUGACGGAGGGCCUUGCCGGAGGGGCGGAUUUCAGAGAGGAAAAUGGAGGCAGAAAACCUAGAAUUUGGGCAUUCUUGAGGUAAAAUAGCUAAAUGUUUGAUGUUUAUAUAAUUGAACACUUAGGAGCGUGGAAUGUGAUUAUAUGAUAGAAAUUGGGAGAUAUUGGGUAUGUUACUAUGUGUUGAGCCAAUUUGAUUUAUGAAUAAGGGAAGAACUACUUUUAGUAUUGAUUGGAGAAGUUGUGGUGAUUAAUUGUGUUAUAACUUGCUUGCUUUGUGUUGAUGAGUUAAACAUGAGUUAAAUUUCAAGCUAAAGCAUGCUAAUGUGUAAUAAGAUGAUGUAAUUGAGUCCCUAUGGUUGUAUUUGACAAAAGUAUGAAUUAUAUGUUAAGUUGAAACAAAGGGACUUUGCUGUCAGUUUUCGGCUUGACAGGGCAGUAUGUUUCGAGGUGCUUCUGAUGGUGUUAUCGUAGUCUAAAUAACUUGAAAUUUUUACUGUAAUAACUUCGGCAUGAGUGGUACGUGUCUGCAAAAUUUCAGCUAAAUCCAACACCGUUAGAUAUGUCAAACGAAUUUCUGAAAUGUACUGCACGAAGAAGCGUAGGUCAGUGGCAGUUUCUGCCUUUGGUGAUAUAACUUCUUAUACACUUGAGACAUUGUAUUUUUGUAAAUUCCUGAUAAAUAUAGACUUUAAUAUCUUUCUAAAAAGAUAAAGCUUGUAUUUUUCUUUGAAGGGGUUGAUUUUAUAUGAUAUUUCAAAGUUGAGAUUCAUAUAUGAUUACAUAUUUGAAGUGACUUUAAUAUGAUUUCAACUUGAGAUAUCCCAAGAAAUAUGAUGUUAUUGUUUGUUUUGCAGGUAGUUAAGUCCAUAAAAGUAGAAUACUCAGAUUAGAGGAUGCAACUCCUGUGUGACGCUUGAGGUAAAAUAGCUAAAUGUUUGAUGCUUAUAUAAUUGAACACUUAGGAGCGUGGAAUGUGAAUAUAUGAUAGAAAUUGGGAGAUAUUGAUUGGAGAAGUUGUGGUGAUUAAUUGUGUUAUAACUUGCUUGCUUUGUGUUGAUGAGUUAAACAUGAGUUAAAUUUCAAGCUAAAGCAUGCUAAUGUGCAAUAAGAUGAUGUAAUUGAGUCCCUAUAGUUUGCAGGAGAAUGCUACUCCAAAAAGUAAAUUGAUGAAGUAAGGAUAGAGUGGAGUUGGUGCUAAAAAGCAGAGAAGAAAAGGGUAGGCGAGAAGAGUUGGAGUUUCUAAUUCCUUUCAUUUCGUUCCCCUUUUUGUUUAAAAACUGAAAUUCUCUUCUCAUUUCCCUCUUUGGCAGAUCGGAAAUCACCGCGGUUCCGCUGCCGCCAUCGCCGAACCCGACCCAGACUCCCAGAAUACAAAUCUCAGCCCAAAAGUAAAAGUAUCAAGAUUCAAAUGUUGGAUGAAAUUUGUGAUGUUGGAUGAAAUUUGUGAUGUUGGAU
rnacentral:lncRNA from 1 species